AUAAAUCAAAUGACUGAACAAAAUCAAACCCUGGGCUGUGUUUUUCAUAUGGUUGCACUCUAUAGGUAUUGAAAUGCUCACCUAUACUUUGAAAAAAAACAUUUUGCAAAAAUUGAAUAAAUGAUCAUUCGAAGCAAAAGCAUGCAGUUCAAAAGCUAAACCUCCCAUUGGAGAACAGAAAAUUUAAUGAGCUUUUAAUGGAAUGCAAUGCUCAGAGUAGUAAAUUAUUUGUUAGUUGACGAUGCAAUCAGCAUGCUGAUUAAGGUUGCUUGGUUUUUUACUAAACAUUAACUGAAUGAAAACGGGUAGUGCUUGUUCUGCUUGGGGGGCUUUAAGGAAGCAAAUGGACUUUCAGAACAGAGAUUGUCAAUAAAGAUGAUAGUGCAAAACCAGGCAAGAGUUAAAAGACUUGGAAUCUGAUCUCAGCAUUGGUGCAAAUUGUGUGACCUUUGGCAGUGACUGAACCAGAAUCAACUCACCAGGAGACAAAUGUGGAAAGAGAAAUAUUAACAAAAAAGAAUCUCUAAAGUAGUUUUUCAUAACAAAACUCAGUCUGCCCACCAAAUAGUUUCCAAGAAUGUUUGUUUCAAGUUAGCACAUUUUCUCAUUUUGGCCCAGAUGUUUUCCUUUCAAUUUCUUAUCUGCCAUAUAGAUCUAUGAUUUCAUCAGUGUGAAGAAUUCCCACUGGGGAAACUUCCUUUGCUGAGGCAGAUCAGCAGUUCAUGAGUAAUUUAUAGUUUUAGAGAAUUGCUUGGUAUACUGAGAAAUUUAAGUGAUUUGCCUAGGAUGUCCAAAUAUUAUGUAUCAGAGGCAGGUUUGAGUUCAGAGCCUGGGUUCAGGUCUUCCUGAUCCCAAGGCUAUUCCCCUAUCUAAUGACUAUGCUUCCAUCUUACAUACACAUGACUAAUAUUAACUGGUGUUAAUUCCAUUAACACCAGCUUCUAUUUAGUCAUGUCUUCUUCCUAAGUUUAAAGACCAACUCACUGUCUCAGUUCUUUCCCUACAAAUCACUGCUUCAAAAGCAAGCUAGAAUAUAAUACUGAUUAUUGGGAGAAUGAUUAAUGAGGCAUCACAAAUACCUCAAGUAAGUCAAGGUUAGGUUAAGAGGAAAAGUUCCCCCCAAAGCACUAAGAAUGAAGAAGAUUUAUCCUAGAUCUCAUAUACUUUAAGUGCUCCUAAGAUAAAAAGUAAUUUUCUUCAUCUUUUAAGCACAAUAUACAUUUCUAUUAUGAUGAUUACUCUUAGUUGGCUUUAUGUGCCAAGAAAUAGUUAAUGAAAUAAGGAAGACAUUAUUUAACUCAAACUAUGUCUAGGUCAGUUAGGUGGCAGAGUAGAUAAGAAUGUGGAUCCUAGAGUUAGGAAGAACUGAAUUCAAAUCCUCAUUAGCCUCAUUAGCCUUGUGACCCUGGGCAAGUUACUUAACUUUUCUCAGUCUGUUUCCUCACUGGUAAAAUGGGGUUAAUAAUAGCACUUCUUACUAUGCCUGAAGGGUACUAAAAGACUGUCUGCCCUUUGAUCCAGCCAUACCACUGCUGGGUUUGUAUCCUAAAGAGAUCACAAGGAAAAAGGCCUGUACAAGAAUAUUCAUAGCUGUGCUCUUUGUGGUGGCAAAAAAUUGGAAAAUGAGAGGAUGCCUUUCAAUUGGGCUGGAAAAAUUAUGCUAUCAGAUGGUGAUGGACUACUAUUGUGCUCAAAGGAAUGAUGAACUGGAGGAAAUCCAUGCAAACUGGAACAACCUCCAGGAAUUGAUGCAGAGCAAAAGGAACAGAACCAGGAGAACAUUGUACACAGAGGCUGAUACACUGUGGCACAAUCAAAUGUAAUAGACUUCUCUACUAGCAGCAAUGCAAUGUUCCAGGACAAUUCUGAGAGAUCUAUGAGAAAGAACAUUAUCUACAUUCAAGGAAGAACUGUGGGAAUAAAACACAGAAGUAAAACAACUGUUUGAUCACAAAGGGUUGAUGGGGAUAUGAUUGGGGAUGUAGACUAUAAACGAUUAACCUAGUGCAAAUAUCAACAAUAUGGAAAUAGGUCUUGAUCAAUGACACAUGUAAAACCCAGAGGAAUUACACAUUGGCUGUGGGAGGUGGGUUGAGGGAGGGCAGGGAAAGAGCAUGAAUCUUGUAACCAUGGGGAAAAUAUUCUAAAUUAAUUAAUUAAAUAAAGUUUUCAAAAAUAAA